rnacentral:rRNA from 1 species
UUGGAGGGCAAGUCUGGUGCCAGCAGCCGCGGUAAUUCCAGCUCCAAUAGCGUAUAUUAAAGUUGUUGCAGGUAAAAAGCUCGUAGUUGAAUUUCGGGGUUAGUAGGUUGGUCAUGCCUCUGGUAUGUACUGGUCCCACUGAUUCCUCCUUCCUGAUGAGCCGUAAUGCCAUUAAUUUGGUGUUGCGGGGAAUUUGGACUGUUACUUUGAAAAAAUUAGAGUGUUUAAAGCAAGCUAACGCUUGAAUACAUUAGCAUGGAAUAAUGAAAUAGGACGUUCGAUCCUAUUUUGUUGGUUUCUAGGAUUGACGUAAUGAUUAAUAGGGAUAGUUGGGGGCAUUAGUAUUCAAUUGUCAGAGGUGAAAUUCUUGGAUUUAUUGAAGACUAACUACUGCGAAAGCAUUUGCCAAGGAUGUUUUCAUUAAUCAAGAACGAAAGUUAGGGGAUCGAAGACGAUCAGAUACCGUCGUAGUCUUAACCAUAAACUAUGCCGACUAGGGAUCGGAUGAUGUUAAUUUUUUAAUGACUCAUUCGGCGCCUUACGGGAAACCAAAGUGUUUGGGUUC